UGUACGCUGCCGCUCCUCUCGAUCCACCCCCUCCAGCUGCGACCUCUCUCUCUCUCUCGUCUCCCGCUCCACCGCUGCCGCCCCAUCUCCCGCUCCGCCGCCCUCAUCUCCCGCUCCGCCACCGAGAGGAGUUGCCCUUCACCGCCGCUGAGAUCCUGUGCCUCUUUGCAGAUCCCUCUCGCCCUCCUCUUCGCCCAUCCACCUAGAUCGAAAGUCGAAACCCGCCGCCCCUCUGUCCCUGCUGGUGCUCGACGGAAGACGAGGGCGGCUCCUCCUGGCGAUUUCCCAUGGUCCUCGGCGGCGACGACGGCUAGCUGCAGCGAAAAGACAAUGGGAUGAUGGGCGCCAGGGCGGGCGCUGGCGAUCGGCGGAAGGCGCUGGCGGCUACCCGGCUCCACUACUGGCCGCCACAGCUCCACCGGCCGUGCGCAAGUCCUUUUUUACUUGCGCUCCUCUCUUACUAUGCAGCUGCGAUGGCAGCGGACGAGGCCGCGAGGAAAGACGCCAACAACAUGCAGCAGUAGCAGCGUCUUAGCAGCAGGUCAAUUUCCAUUCCGGCAACGGUGGACUUCACCAUUUUUAAUACUCCAGCCCCAGAUUUUGUUGCGAAGGCUUUUGAUAUUGUGGUGCAAGAAUUGAUACCUAACGCAAUGCCUGGACAAAGUAUGAGCCGUUCCUUACCUGGUAAACCUCUUAGAGGAUUCACUGGAGCUGCCCUUCUAAAACAUGAUUCAGUUUGCAUGUAUUCAGUGACAGAGGUUGAACUGACACGUGUGAAGAACUCAACGAUUUGAUCGAGGCUUGUGUGGUGGCACUCACAUGUACCAAAUUGCACGUUUUCUGUGAUGUGGUAUAACACCAUGGUGAAGAAACCAUUCAGACUCCACAGACAAAAUCAUUCGGACAUGGCAGUGAACCAUUCAUUUGUUACAUGGAGUGCGGUCGACAAAUUAGGUUUGGGUCAUACUUCACCAUCACUUGCGUCCGACAAACUACCUGAGCUGCAAUUGUCUCCAAACUGGACGUAGAAAUAGUCAGAAUCUUAAUUUCAAGUUCUUCACGUACACUUUGCUCUUAGUGCCAGGCUCUAGGAACUGUUCCCAUAUUAUUUAUUUUAUAUGCUAGAAAUCCAAAUCUUAGACUUAUGUAGUAUUAAAUUACUUAAUGGUGUGCAAAGUCUACUUCUAGGAUAAGAUCAUCUUUCAGCAAUAGUAUUGAACUGUGCAAAGUUAAGUUCUAUUUUUUUGGCCGUGCAAAACAAAAAUCACAUUGGACCUCCAACGCAUGGCAACUCAGCAAAGACAGGCGUCAGUUCAUGCACACCCUCCCUCCAGCAGCUCAUAUCUUAGGCAUAUUCUCUGUUUUCUUGCAAUUUUAGAAAGAUCCUCUUGGUGAUCUCAGAUUGUCAUGCAAGUUAAGAAACAUUUUAGUUUAUGUCGUCUCUUUUCUUUUAAUGCUCAGCUUGUAUCCUCUUGCAAUGCAAGAUUAUCCAUAUUGCUGGCAGCCCUUAUUUUUUAUGUGUGCUUUACUAUUCAUUUUUUCGUGCCUAUGCAUUAAACUGAUAAUGUAAUAUGGAGAUCCAAAAAGCUUAUUGAGAUAUUGAUAUCGCUUCUCUAUAAAUGGAAGAAGGAAGUCUUUUAUGUGAUUCUUUUUUCCAUUAAAAUGCACUCCAGUUUCUUCAUGGAUUAGUUAUUCAAACCUGCAGUUCUUUCUAUAGUCAUCAAGGGCAACAUGAAUAACUCCAUUUUGGAACAUAAGGCUGGACAUAAUUUAAGGAAUGAAUCCACUUCCCUCAAGAAGGACAACGACCACGAGACAGUGCUACCAUUGAGCUGAAGGAGCCAGGUGUAGGCGUUCCUAGAGAUAUCUCUAGUAGCCCCGCAGCUGAAGCGGGUGGUGCGGUGGUGGUGUGUGACAUGGUACAACGAGUGCUGCAAGGUAGGCAAGGGGCCUGAAUAUGUUUCCACUGUAGGCACAUGUUGGUAGAAGACAAAUUAAAGUGUGCAGAUAUGCACUCGAAGGACAUUAUCUUCAGGUUCAGAAGGAAGGAAAAAGUUCUGCAGAAUGCCCUCUUGUUGGAUGUGAUAUAUUGAGGGAGUCCAGGAUUAGGGGGUCCUCAGACAGCCGGACUAUAUGCUUAUGCCGGACUGUUGGACUAUGAAGAUACAAGACUGAAGACUCCGUCCCGUGUUCGUGUGGGACUUUCCUUUGCGUGGAAGGCAAGCUUGGCAAUUCAGAUAUGUAGAUUCCCUUCUCUGUAUUCGACUCUGUGUAACCCUAGCCCCCUCCGGUGUCUAUAUAA